UACGAAGGGGGCUAGCGUUGCUCGGAAUCACUGGGCGUAAAGCGCACGUAGGCGGACUCUUAAGUCGGUGGUGAAAUCCUGGAGCUCAACUCCAGAACUGCCUUCGAUACUGAGAGUCUUGAGUCCGGGAGAGGUGAGUGGAACUGCGAGUGUAGAGGUGAAAUCGUAGAUAUUCGCAAGAACACCAGUGGCGAAGGCGGCUCACUGGACCACAACUGACGCUGAGGCGCGAAAGCUAGGGGAGCAAACAGG
rnacentral:rRNA from 1 species